rnacentral:rRNA from 1 species
UACGGAGGGUGCAAGCGUUAUCCGGAUUCACUGGGUUUAAAGGGUGCGUAGGUGGGUCUGUAAGUCCGUGGUGAAAUCUCCGAGCUUAACUUGGAAACUGCCAUGGAUACUAUAGAUCUUGAAUAUUGUGGAGGUCAGCGGAAUAUGUCAUGUAGCGGUGAAAUGCUUAGAUAUGACAUAGAACACCAAUUGCGAAGGCAGCUCACUACACAAAUAUUGACACUGAGGCACGAAAGCGUGGGGAUCAAACAGG